rnacentral:misc_RNA from 1 species
UGUAGACUUAAUUAUUAUGGAAUAUUAUGGUUAUGGGUCAAGUCUAUGUAGGAUGUAAUACUGUAUGUGGUAUGAGUGUGGAUCAUCAUGCAGUUUCACAUAAGGGUCUCUGGAGAAGGAUUGGUAAAUAACUAAUGUACAUACUAUUGUUGAUUAAUAUGCAAGUAAAAUCCUGAAAAUCAAGAGAAUAUUUUGGACUUGAAAGGCAUAGCAAUUUAUUCAUAUUAGAUUCUCCUCUUGUCGGUUAGUCAUGCUGUCCCUUUUCUAAUUUGAGGUUCUGCUAACUAAUCUUUUUCUUCAGGUGGCAGAAA